AUGAGAAUAUGCUUUCUACCAAUGGGAAGGCAAAACAAGUUGAUCAGGGGCUGUAUUCUGAACUUAAGGAGAAAACAUAUGAGUGCAACUGACCAACUGACUCUCCAUGACUCAGGCAAAGGUUUGGCUUACCGCUCACCUGUUUUAGAUACAGUAGAGUCUCACUUAUCCAACACUCGCUUAUCCAAGGUUCUGGAUUAUCCAACACAUUUUUGUAGUCAAUGUUUUCAAUACAUCAUGAUGUUUUGGUGCUUAAUUUGUAAAAUCAUAAUGUAAUUUGAUGUUUAAUAGGCUUUUCCUUAAUGCCUCCUUAUUAUACAACAUAUUCGCUUAUCUAACAUUCUGCCGGUCCAUUUAUGUUGGAUAAGUGAGACUCUACUGUACCUUCUUUCAACACCAUUCCAUUCCCUUUCCAUGUCUUUGGCUUCUACCUUGGGAACCUACUAGGUCAAGAUUUCUUGUCAAAUAGCCAAGGAAUGCAUUACUUGUUAUUCAUUUGUAUUCUUCUUUGCCUCCCGCAAAAGGAAGCUUAAACCAUGACAACAAGGACAGAUAAAACACACAUCAAUAACCCAUUACAAAAAAAGAGAUAGUUGCAAUACGAUUCGGCCAUGGGUGGAAUUACAUUAAAUUAUUUAAAUGUACACAUUAAAAGACAAGGAUAAAAACCAUGGGUGGUGAUGGUGGUUUCGGGUUAGAGUUUAGACGGACAAGAACUGAAUGAGAGAUAAACCUCUUAAGCUGCCAGUUGCUGACUUCUAAGGAAGGCUGGUUAGCUUGAUUUGAGGGAACUUGGCUCCAUCCAGAGAUUAUUUUCUGGCUGUUUUUGGAGAUCCUUGGAACAGAGGAAGAGAGCAGUUGGUGACAGUGGGUGGUUUAUUUAGCUGAAAUACCAAAGGGCAUGCCACCCGUCUUCCUGUAACAGCCUUUCUGGGGGAAGGGUUUUCUGAAAAUUACAUACUUUCCCAGGAGUAAUGUUUCUGGUUGACUUGAAUCUCCAAGACAGGCUUCUGUCAGAAGGGGACUUUCUUCCCCCAUGAGAUUGAAAAUAAUUUGGUGGAGUGUACAUACCCU
rnacentral:lncRNA from 11 species